GCUGGGUGUGGUGGUGCACACCUGUAAUCCCAGCUACUCGGGAGGCUGAGGCAGGAUAAUCACUUGAACCCAGGAGGCAGAGGUUGCAGUGAGCCAAGAUUCUGCCACUGCACUCCAGCCUGGGUGACAGAGUGAGACUUAGUCUCAA
rnacentral:SRP_RNA from 1 species